rnacentral:lncRNA from 1 species
AGUGUUCGGUGAUAUUUAUAGAUAUCACCUUUUUUCAUGGUAGAGUAACAAUCACUGUUCCUUUGUAGAGGUUCCAUCAGCCUCGGUUCCUGAGUAACCAUAACACAGGACUAACUUGAGAUGGACACAUAGCCUGAGUAAGAAAUCAGACUUGAAGGUUUCUGAAGUACUACAGAAUAACCCAAGUUUUCAUAGAACAUGUCUGGCAUCAUUCGUUGCAUAUACAAUGUCUAAACAUUUGGUGGCACAAGAAGAGAGGACACUAAGAAAAGCUGUGCCAGGGGCCCCAAGUGCUUGUGAAUGGGAAGAAUCCUU